GACGAACGCUGGCGGCGUGCUUAACACAUGCAAGUCGAACGGAGAGGCCCUGCUUGCAGGGUACUCGAGUGGCGAACGGGUGAGUAACACGUGGGGGAUCUGCCCUGCACUUCGGGAUAAGCUUUGGAAACUGGGUCUAAUACCGGAUAGGAGCCAUCUUUAGUGUGGUGGUUGGAAAGUUUUUUCGGUGUAGGAUGAGCUCGCGGCCUAUCAGCUUGUUGGUGGGGUAAUGGCCUACCAAGGCGGCGACGGGUAGCCGGCCUGAGAGGGUGUACGGCCACAUUGGGACUGAGAUACGGCCCAGACUCCUACGCGAGGCAGCAGUGGGGAAUAUUGCAAAAUGGGGGCAAGCCUGAUGCAGCGACGCCGCGUGGGGGAUGAAGGCCUUCGGGUUGUAAACUCCUUUCGCUAGGGACGAAGCUUUGUUGUGACGGUACCUAGAGAAGAAGCACCGGCUAACUACGUG
rnacentral:rRNA from 1 species